rnacentral:rRNA from 1 species
CAAUAGCGUAUAUUUAAGUUGUUGCAGUUAAAAAGCUCGUAGUUGGAUUUUGGGUCGGGGGCACCGGUCCGCCGUUCCGGUGUGCACUGGUGGCCCCUUCCUUUCUGCCGGGGACGUGCGUCGCACUUAAUUGGGUGGCGUUCGGAGUCGGCGUUGUUACUUUGAAAAAAUUAGAGUGUUCAAAGCAAGCCAUCGCUCUGAAUACAUUAGCAUGGAAUAACAUGAUAGGACUCCGGUCUUAUUUUGUUGGUUUCCGAGACUGGAGUAAUGAUUAAGAGGGACAGUCGGGGGCAUCCGUAUUUCAUUGUCAGAGGUGAAAUUCUUGGAUUUAUGAAAGACGAACUUCUGCGAAAGCAUUUACCAAGGAUGUUUUCAUUAA